GACGUAGGGGGCCAGCGUUGUUCGGAAUUACUGGGUGUAAAGGGUUCGUAGGCGGUGCGGCAAGUUGGGAGUGAAAUCUCUGGGCUUAACCCAGAGGCUGCUUUCAAAACUGCUGUGCUUGAGUGUGGGAGAGGCGCGUGGAAUUGCAGGUGUAGCGGUGAAAUGCGUAGAUAUCUGCAGGAACACCCGUGGCGAAAGCGGCGCGCUGGACCACUACUGACGCUGAGGAACGAAAGCUAGGGGAGCAAACAGG
rnacentral:rRNA from 1 species